GAUGUACAGUAGACUAUAGAAGAUAGAGUUGUAAGGUUGAUGAGAUAGU
rnacentral:misc_RNA from 1 species